GAUGAACGCUAGCGGGAGGCUUAACACAUGCAAGUCGAGGGGCAGCACAGGUAGCAAUACUGGGUGGCGACCGGCGGACGGGUGCGUAACGCGUAUGCAACCUACCUUAUACAGGGGGAUAGCCCGGGGAAACUCGGAUUAAUAUUCCAUAGUUCAGUAAAUUCGCAUGGGAUUACUGAUAAAACUCAGGUGGUAUAAGAUGGGCAUGCGUCUGAUUAGGUAGUUGGUAGGGUAACGGCCUACCAAGCCGACGAUCAGUAGGGGUUCUGAGAGGAUCAUCCCCCACACUGGUACUGAGACACGGACCAGACUCCUACGGGAGGCAGCAGUGAGGAAUAUUGGUCAAUGGGCGCAAGCCUGAACCAGCCAUCCCGCGUGAAGGAUGAAGGCCUUAUGGGUUGUAAACUUCUUUUGUACCUGAAGAAACCCUUCUACGUGUAGGAGGUUGCCGGUAAGGUACGAAUAAGCAUCGGCUAACUCCGUGCCAGCAGCCGACGGUAAACUCGUCUCUA
rnacentral:rRNA from 1 species